GACGAACGCUGGCGGCGUGCUUAACACAUGCAAGUCGAACGGAGAGGCCCUGCUUUUGUGGGGUGCUCGAGUGGCGAACGGGUGAGUAACACGUGAGUAACCUGCCCUUGACUUUGGGAUAACUUCAGGAAACUGGGGCUAAUACCGGAUAGGAGCUCCUGCUGCAUGGUGGGGGUUGGAAAGUUUCGGCGGUUGGGGAUGGACUCGCGGCUUAUCAGCUUGUUGGUGGGGUAGUGGCUUACCAAGGCUUUGACGGGUAGCCGGCCUGAGAGGGUGACCGGCCACAUUGGGACUGAGAUACGGCCCAGACUCCUACGGGAGGCAGCAGUGGGGAAUAUUGCACAAUGGGCGGAAGCCUGAUGCAGCAACGCCGCGUGCGGGAUGACGGCCUUCGGGUUGUAAACCGCUUUCGCCUGUGACGAAGCGUGAGUGACGGUGAUGGGUAAAGAAGCACCGGCUAACUACGUG
rnacentral:rRNA from 1 species